GACGAACGCUGGCGGCGUGCUUAACACAUGCAAGUCGAACGGAAAGGCCCUGCUUUUGUGGGGUGCUCGAGUGGCGAACGGGUGAGUAACACGUGAGUAACCUGCCCUUGACUUUGGGAUAACUUCAGGAAACUGGGGCUAAUACCGGAUAGGAGCUCCUGCUGCAUGGUGGGGGUUGGAAAGUUUCGGCGGUUGGGGAUGGACUCGCGGCUUAUCAGCUUGUUGGUGGGGUAGUGGCUUACCAAGGCUUUGACGGGUAGCCGGCCUGAGAGGGUGAUCGGCCACAUUGGGACUGAGAUACGGCCCAGACUCCUACGGGAGGCAGCAGUGGGGAAUAUUGCACAAUGGGCGGAAGCCUGAUGCAGCAACGCCGCGUGCGGGAUGACGGCCUUCGGGUUGUAAACCGCUUUCGCCUGUGACGAAGCGUGAGUGACGGUAAUGGGUAAAGAAGCACCGGCUAACUACGCG
rnacentral:rRNA from 1 species